rnacentral:rRNA from 1 species
GAAGGGGGCUAGCGUUGUUCGGAAUUACUGGGCGUAAAGCGCGCGUAGGCGGUUUUGCAAGCCAGAGGUGAAAUGCCUGAGCUCAACUUAGGAAUUGCCUUUGGGACUGCGAGGCUUUGAGGACUGGAGAGGUGAGUGGAAUUCCCAGUGUAGAGGUGAAAUUCGUAGAUAUUGGGAAGAACACCAGUGGCGAAGGCGGCUCACUGGCCAGUUUCUGACGCUGCAGCGCGAAAGCGUGGGGAUCAAACAGGAUUAGAUACCCUGGUAGUCCACGCUGUAAACGAUGAGUGCUAGGCGUCGGCACGCUUGCGUGUCGGUGCCGCAGCUAACGCGUGAAGCACUCCGCCUGGGGAGUACGGUCGCAAGAUUA